rnacentral:rRNA from 1 species
UUGAACGCUGGCGGCAGGCCUAACCCAUGCAGGUCGAGCGGAUGAAGGGAGCUUGCUCCUGGAUUCAGCGGCGGACGGGUGAGUAAUGCCUAGGAAUCUGCCUGGUAGUGGGGGAUAACGUCCGGAAACGGGCGCUAAUACCGCAUACGUCCUGAGGGAGAAAGUGGGGGAUCUUCGGACCUCACGCUAUCAGAUGAGCCUAGGUCGGAUUAGCUAGUUGGUGGGGUAAAGGCCUACCAAGGCGACGAUCCGUAACUGGUCUGAGAGGAUGAUCAGUCACACUGGAACUGAGACACGGUCCAGACUCCUACGGGAGGCAGCAGUGGGGAAUAUUGGACAAUGGGCGAAAGCCUGAUCCAGCCAUGCCGCGUGUGUGAAGAAGGUCUUCGGAUUGUAAAGCACUUUAAGUUGGGAGGAAGGGCAGUAAGUUAAUACCUUGCUGUUUUGACGUUACCAACAGAAUAAGCACCGGCUAACUUCGUG